rnacentral:rRNA from 1 species
AGUGAACGCUGGCGGUAGGCCUAACACAUGCAAGUCGAACGGCAGCACAGUAAGAGCUUGCUCUUACGGGUGGCGAGUGGCGGACGGGUGAGGAAUACAUCGGAAUCUACUUUUUCGUGGGGGAUAACGUAGGGAAACUUACGCUAAUACCGCAUACGACCUACGGGUGAAAGCAGGGGAUCUUCGGACCUUGCGCGAUUGAAUGAGCCGAUGUCGGAUUAGCUAGUUGGCGGGGUAAAGGCCCACCAAGGCGACGAUCCGUAGCCGGUCUGAGAGGAUGAUCGGCCACACUGGAACUGAGACACGGUCCAGACUCCUACGGGAGGCAGCAGUGGGGAAUAUUGGACAAUGGGCGAAAGCCUGAUCCAGCCAUACCGCGUGGGUGAAGAAGGCCUUCGGGUUGUAAAGCCCUUUUGUUGGGAAAGAAAAGCAGCAGGUUAAUACCCCGCUGUUCUGACGGUACCCAAAGAAUAAGCACCGGCUAACUUCGUG